GAUGAAGAACGUAGCGAAAUGCGAUAAGUAAUGUGAAUUGCAGAAUUCAGUGAAUCAUCGAAUCUUUGAACGCACCUUGCGCUCUUUGGUAUUCCGAGGAGCAUGCCUGUUUGAGUGUCAUGAAAUUCUCAACCUUUCGAGCUUUUUUGAUGAAAGGGCUAGUUAGGCUUGGAUUCUGGGAGUUUGCUGGCUUCUAUUUGAGUCAGCUCUUCUUAAAUAUAUUAGCAAGGUCAUCGCUAAAUCAUCUUUGAUAUGAUAAUUAUCUAUAUCAUUCAUGAUACUCGGCGUUUCCUUCAUAGGGAAAAGAUCAGGCUUAUAGCUGUCUCAGGACAACAAUACAUUUGAAUCAUUUGACCUCAAAUCAGGUAGGAUUACCCGCUGAACUUAAGCAUAUCAAUAAGCGGAGGA
rnacentral:misc_RNA from 1 species